rnacentral:rRNA from 1 species
AUUGAACGCUGGCGGCAGGCCUAACACAUGCAAGUCGAGCGGAUGAAGGGAGCUUGCUCCUGGAUUCAGCGGCGGACGGGUGAGUAAUGCCUAGGAAUCUGCCUGGUAGUGGGGGAUAACGUCCGGAAACGGGCGCUAAUACCGCAUACGUCCUGAGGGAGAAAGUGGGGGAUCUUCGGACCUCACGCUAUCAGAUGAGCCUAGGUCGGAUUAGCUAGUUGGUGGGGUAAAGGCCUACCAAGGCGACGAUCCGUAACUGGUUGAGAGGAUGAUCAGUCACACUGGAACUGAGACACGGUCCAGACUCCUACGGGAGGCAGCAGUGGGGAAUAUUGGACAAUGGGCGAAAGCCUGAUCCAGCCAUGCCGCGUGUGUGAAGAAGGUCUUCGGAUUGUAAAGCACUUUAAGUUGGGAGGAAGGGCAGUAAGUUAAUACCUUGCUGUUUUGACGUUACCAACAGAAUAAGCACCGGCUAACUUCGUG